AUGCGGAGGGUGCAAGCGUUAAUCGGAAUUACUGGGCGUAAAGCGUACGUAGGCGGUUCGUUAAGUUAGAUGUGAAAGCCCCGGGCUUAACCUGGGAACUGCGUUUAAAACUGGCGAACUAGAGUUGAGUAGAGGGGAGUGGAAUUUCAGGUGUAGCGGUGAAAUGCGUAGAGAUCUGAAGGAACACCAGUGGCGAAGGCGACUCCCUGGACUCGAACUGACGCUGAGGUACGAAAGCGUGGGUAGCAAACGGAAUUAGAAACCCUAGUAGUCC
rnacentral:rRNA from 1 species